rnacentral:tRNA from 1 species
GCGGGAGUGGUGGAAUUGGUAGACACGCAGGAUUUAGGUUCCUGUGCCUUCGUGUGUGUGGGUUCGAGUCCCACCUUCCGCA